GGCCGCGGGAAUUCGAUUAGCGAGUAAUGUCGGGGACUCUAAGAAGACUGCCGGUGAAAGUCGGAGGAAGGUGGGGAUGACGUCAAGUCCUCAUGCCCUUUAUAUCUCGGGCUACACACGUGCUAUAAUGGCUGAUACAGAGGGGAGCAAAGCUGCGAAGUGGAGCAAAUCCUAUAAAAUCAGUCCCAGUUCGGAUUGCAGGCUGCAACUCGCCUGUAUGAAGUUGGAAUCGCUAGUAAUCGCAGGUCAGCAUACUGCGGUGAAUACGUCCCGGGCCUUGUACACACCGAAUCACUAGUGAAUUC
rnacentral:rRNA from 1 species